UUAAAUGCAGUGAACAGAACAGUUUAUCCAAGAUGUUUGCAUUGCAGAGAGUCAUCGGUUGGUGUGAGAUGAUAUGUGAUUUUGGAUAACAUCAUCUGCGAGCAGUGCACUGAAAUUAGUCAAUAUUGAUUAAGAUUAAGUGUCACCGGUAUUCUACCGUUAUAUAGAAGCUUAUUAAACGGACGAUUUAAAGUCUCCGUCAGAUGAGGCAGAGUGGUCACGUAAGUGGCAAUCAAAGUGGUAUCGCGGAAGUUUUAGCUUUCGUCUUUGAG
rnacentral:ncRNA from 1 species